rnacentral:rRNA from 1 species
GCCUACGGGGGGCAGCAGUAGGGAAUCUUCCACAAUGGGCGAAAGCCUGAUGGAGCAACGCCGCGUGGGUGAAGAAGGUCUUCGGAUCGUAAAACCCUGUUGUUAGAGAAGAAAGUGCGUGAGAGUAACUGUUCACGUUUCGACGGUAUCUAACCAGAAAGCCACGGCUAACUACGUGCCAGCAGCCGCGGUAAUACGUAGGUGGCAAGCGUUAUCCGGAUUUAUUGGGCGUAAAGGGAACGCAGGCGGUCUUUUCAGUCUGAUGUGAAAGCCUUCGGCUUAACCGGAGUAGUGCAUUGGAAACU